GCUGGGCUAGCCCAGAAGUUUUGAACUAGUCAGGCUGGCUGAGGGAGGAUCGGUUACCUGCCGGCGGGGUGGGUAGAGGAGGGGCUGAGGAUCUGGACGACGGAGGGGACAGACUGGCCUCCCUGCCCACCACCGGACAGUUUGACAUCCAGAUCCUUAUUCAGUAGAGGAUGCCACAGGCUGCUCAUGUUCAGGAGCUCUUCCAUGAGGAAGCUCAUCAGAUAUCACCCUAGUUGAAGCCUUUCAAUCACAUCUCAACUGGACCAUGUAAAGCUUUCUAAUUGGUCUGCAAGCAAAACCUCUCAUCACCCCAAUUCCUCCUUGAUACAGCUGUCUAAGUGAUUCUCCUAAACCUUAGAUCUAUCUGACGUAUCACUCCUCUCCACCCUUACUCAACAUGGUGGAUAGAAGAAGUGAUACAAGGAGACUCUCAAGGUCUCUCUGAAGAACAUUGGGAUCAUUUGUGUGAAAUGGGAGACACAGGCACAGGACCACCAGCAUGGCCUGCCACAUCCAAAAAGAUGCAAAGCAGAAUUACAAGUGGCUCAGAAGUAGCAUGAGCUAUGCAGGUUCAGAGCUGUCUCCACUCCAACUAUUCAUAUGGACUAUUUGUGCCUAACUUAUGAGAGAGGCUUCCAAGCUUGUAUUGGUCUGAGCAGGCACAGUCAGACACAUUGCAGCUUCGUCCUGACAUAGUGAUAUCAUUUUGGUAAUCUUCAAGAAAGAAAGACAACAACCAAUCAAAUAAAUGUCAAAGGUUAUGGAAUAAAAUAUAAAUUCUUUUGUUGGUAUUGAAGGUUCCUCACAUUCUGGUCCCACAGUAUCUUUCCAGUCUUCUUAGAUGUUACUUCUCAUGACAUACUCUGAUUCAAGCAUCCUGACAUACUUGGUAUUCCUUUCAUGUAACGCCUCAUCUUCCAUCUCCGAGCCUUUCCCUUUCCCUUCUUCCCCCGCCCCUCUACUUUGUAGAAUACCUGGCUUUGUUCAACACUCAUCAACUCCUCUGUCACCUUCUACAGAAGGCUUUUCCUGGUUCUAUUCCAACUCCUACCUCUAGCUGCCAGCCUUCACCUCCAAGGUUAUGUGCCAUCUACUCUGAAUACUUCUAAUAUGUACCUGGUUAUUUACAUGAUGUCUACUCCAGUAGAAUGUAAGUUCCUGGAGACCAGGAACCGUUUUUGUUCCUCUUUGGCACUGGACGGGGGACAUAGCAGUAAGUGUUAAUAAAUGCUUGUUAAUUGAAACAGAACAAAUUGAAUUCCUUUUUAGAUGGAUGGAUCUUUAAGUACUUGAAAUCAAUCACCACAUCCUACUUAAAUCUUAUUUUUGAGAAUACAAUGGUUUCAUCCUAAGUAUUUAUAUCACCAGA